GAACGCACAUUGCGCCCCUUGGUAUUCCGAGGGGCAUGCCUAUUCGAGCGUCAUUAUCACCCCUCAAGCCUAGCUUGGUGUUGAGGCCUGCUGUAAGGGCAGCCUCUAAAAUCAGUGGCAGUGCUGUCAGGCUCUAAGCGUAGUAAAAUUCAUCGCUAUAGACACCUGGUGGACACUCGCCAGAACCCCCCCCCAUUUUUUAAUGAUUGACCUCGGAUUAGGUAGGGAUACCCGCUGAACUUAAG
rnacentral:misc_RNA from 1 species